CACAGCAUGUAGCCCCGUGGCAGCUGGAGAGGAAGAUGUUUUUGGGGAUAUCGCUUUUCUCAUCUUGACCUGUGCAGUUCUUCUUUCUAAUAGGGCUAGGCGAGGGGAAAGCCAAGACUGAAGCAGACCGUGCGUUUCUAAUUACCUCGGUGACCUGGCCUCUCCGCAAUGAGUCAGGAGGACGAGAACACGAGAAGGCAAAAAACCAUCGCAGCACAACCCCAAAGGAAGAGACAUCAUGAGAAUGACGGGAAGACAGGGAGAGGGGAAAGAGGAAGUAGAAUUCAGGGACAGAAGAAUUCACAGACCACAUUCAACUGACCCAGAACAGGAAAGUGAUGCACCUGACCUGCUUUAAACUGCCUUGUUACAGUGAACCCUCCAACUCAAAGACAAGGGAGCUCGCAUCACCUGCUGAUUUAGACCCACCACCAUGGAGGGAAUUGGCCCUGUGAAGAUAGCAACGUCUUCUUUGGAUCCCAUCCUCCACAGCUCUACAAAGGUUCCGCACAAGAAGAUUUCAGUGAAACUUGAAGGUUGUGUCCAUAUGCAGACACUGAAACACUUGGAGAAAAGAGACUUUUAAAAGGCUGAGGCAGGAGGAUCAUGAAUGAGAGAGGCCAGCGUGGGCUGCAGAGCGGGUUGCUAGCCAGUAUGGUCUACCCAGCAAGACCCUGCCUCAAAAUACGUAAAAGACAAAUAAAUGCAGACCUGAGUAUUCUCUCUAUAUAAGUUUUGCACCUCCGGGCUACAUCUAUGGCCCACUGAGUUCACUGUGGGUUCCAGGCAGGUGGCAAAGGCUAGACUGUGGGACAUGCGGGGACAGAGUUGUGUCUCUUCUGUUCCUUUGGUAAAAUGUCUGGCAGGAGCAGCUCCAGGAAGGAAUGAUUUACUCUGGCUCAUGGCUUCAGAGGGAUUUAAGUCCCUCUCUGUGGGGAAGGUACUGUGUGGGUAGUUCUAAUCGUCACAUGGCAGUGCAACAGGGAGAGUGUAGAUAGAUGGGAGCCAGGGACAGACUGACCCUCAAGGGCCUGGCCCUAGUGACCUAUGUCUACCAGGCAGGCCAUACCUCCUACAGGUUCUACAGCCUUCAAAGUCAAGCUACAAGCCAAGGGCUGAGCAUUUACAGCAUGGCUCAGGGCAGGGCAGGAGGCAUGGUAGCAGGGCUGCUCUCUGCCCUAUGAGGCACUGACUUUAACUUAUCUCUUUGUCAGGAAAGAGCUUGGUCAAGCACUGUGGCACACAUCUAGAAUCCUGGCAGGCUAAGGCAGGAGGAUCUUCAGUUUAGACUGGGUUAUAAAGGAAGACCACCUCCUACCCCACACCCUGACAAGGUGGAUCUUAUAGAAGUAAGCUUCACUGGAUGGCUUGUGACAAGAGGUCAUGAGCCCAAGAAGUCAUCUUCUCUUUAUAAACAGUGCAGUAGACUUUUUGCUUUCUUUCUUUAACUCCUAAAUACAAAAGCCUACAAAAAGCCUACUUAACAUCAUAUACAGAAAUGAAUCUGGCCUUCAGAUUUCUAUUGGAUCUGGGGCAGGUAGCCAUCACACAUGAUUUUUAAAUAUAAUAUAUUGAGAUUGUGGAGAAUGGGGAAAGUCUUGAGGGGUAAAGUCCUGUGUAAAUAUGUAUUGUUUGACACGAACACAGCCAUGUCAAGGACCAAAGCCUCAGAGCUAUGGGAAAAUGCCAAAGCUUUCCAAGGCUGGGCUCAGUGGAACACCAAAGCCUUCCAAGGCUGGGAUCAGAGGAACGCCAAAGCCUUCCCUCCUGUUCCGAGGGCCAGUGUUGAGAGUGUGUGUAGAAAAUGUCCACCAUAGCUCUGUCCCCAAGAUGUUUGCAGCCUGAAGACUGCUCUCCUACAGAGACUGCUCCUUCGGAGAUUUCCCUCCCUGUUCAGUUUUAGAGUUUCCUUCCAGUGCACUGGAGGAUUUUGAGAACCGCUUGUUGAUUUCUCAGUUAAGUCCUCUGGAGCAAGUCUUUGUCCCUUUGCUCCUCCCUGGUGUUCUGGUCUCUGGUAGGGACGCGUUUCAUUUGAAUCCCAACAUCAUAUAAUCAGUACUCUGUGAAGACUCGGUAUGUAACUUUCAUGGAAUUGAAUGUGACCUCUGAACAAUUCUUCAAGUUGGGCAGAUCUAAAUACACUCAAUUCUCUAGUGAGUCAUCUAGUGUUUUUGUGUGACGAAGAUGUCUUCUGCAUCUGUCAGGUACGUGGGUACUUUACCCAUGUAGCCUCAAUA
rnacentral:lncRNA from 1 species